CAGGCCUAACACAUGCAAGUCGAACGGCAGCACGGUAGAGCUUGCUCUAUGGGUGGCGAGUGGCGGACGGGUGAGUAAGGCAUCGGGACCUACCCAGACGUGGGGGAUAACGUAGGGAAACUUACGCUAAUACCGCAUACGUCCUACGGGAGAAAGCGGGGGAUCGCAAGACCUCGCGCGGUUGGAUGGACCGAUGUGCGAUUAGCUAGUUGGUGAGGUAACGGCUCACCAAGGCGACGAUCGCUAGCUGGUCUGAGAGGAUGAUCAGCCACACUUGGACUGAGACACGGCCCAGACUCCUACGGGAGGCAGCAGUGGGGAAUAUUGGACAAUGGGCGCAAGCCUGAUCCAGCAAUGCCGCGUGUGUGAAGAAGGCCUUCGGGUUGUAAAGCACUUUUAUCAGGAGCGAAAUCUGCAGGGCUAAUACCCAUGCAGUCUGACGGUACCUGAGGAAUAAGCACCGGCUAACUCCGUGCCAGCAGCCGCGGUAAU
rnacentral:rRNA from 1 species